UACGAAGGGGGCUAGCGUUGCUCGGAAUCACUGGGCGUAAAGCGCACGUAGGCGGAUUGCUAAGUCAGGGGUGAAAUCCUGGAGCUCAACUCCAGAACUGCCUUUGAUACUGGCAACCUUGAGUCCGGGAGAGGUGAGUGGAACUGCGAGUGUAGAGGUGAAAUUCGUAGAUAUUCGCAAGAACACCAGUGGCGAAGGCGGCUCACUGGCCCGGAACUGACGCUGAGACGCGAAAGCGUGGGGAGCAAACAGG
rnacentral:rRNA from 1 species